rnacentral:rRNA from 1 species
UACAGAGGGGGCAAGCGUUGUUCGGAAUUACUGGGCGUAAAGGGCGCGUAGGCGGCCUGCUAAGUCGAACGUGAAAUCCCCGGGCUCAACCCGGGAACUGCGUCCGAUACUGGCAGGCUUGAAUCCGGGAGAGGGAUGUGGAAUUCCAGGUGUAGCGGUGAAAUGCGUAGAUAUCUGGAGGAACACCGGUGGCGAAGGCGGCAUCCUGGACCGGUAUUGACGCUGAUGCGCGAAAGCCAGGGGAGCAACGGG